UAUCUUGUAUACUUCCAUACCACUUUCCCUUGUUUUCCUGAUCUUUCUUCCACAAUUCCGUCCACAGAGUGUAAAUAUUUUCUUUAAUAUUUAGAAAAUAGUCAGUGAAAGGUACGAGUAAUGAGUCUGUAACGUCAAUACUGUUUAUAGCCUCACGUGCAGCUUUGUCAGCUUUUUCGUUGCCCGUUAUGCCUCUAUGUGAAGGAACCCACAUAAAUGCUAUAUUUACAUUCUUAUGAUGAUAUUUAUACAAAAGCUCUUUUAUAAUAUACAAGACGUAAUUAGUUUUAUAAUUUACAGAUAUAUUACUUAAACUCUCUAGCAGGCUUAAAGAAUCAGUUAUUAUUAAAAAGUUUGUACAGCUAUUAACCACAGUAAUUCGCAGUAAGGCUUGAUAAACAGCAUAAGCCUCUGCAGUAAAAAUGGAACAAGAUUCAUUCAAAACAAAGCUUUGAGAAAACCUAGCCUUUGAAUCAUAAAAUGCUGCAUGCACAUAGUUAUUCCCUUUGCUGCCAUCAGUAUAUAUAGUGUAAUAUGUAUAGUUUUGUGACAAGAACUGAAUCAUAUCAGAAUUGCUAUUAAUUGUACUCGGGAUUAUAUUUAUUGGAUAUGAAAUGGAGUGAUAACUAUUAGAGUAACAUGGCCAAAGGGACUGUUUACUGAUCUUUUUAUACUUAUUAUCUAUUUCCAGAUAUAUUAUGGACAACGGUGGUGUAUAUUUGUUAAGAAGGGUUAUUCCAGUUAAUAAUGAAGGAGGGGUGAUGUCUAGAUCAGAUAUUAAAGAGAUGAAACUAUCAGCACAGCUUCGCCCUCGCCUAAAGCCAUAUUGGACAUCAGGAAUGAUGUGAUUAGCUUCAACAUACCAGUCAAGACGAACUUUUAACAUUGUUUCAAAAAUUUUGCCAAGACAUGAAGAUAAAUAAAUUGGUCUAUAUGAGCUAGCAAGUUCUGGUGCCUUGUCUGGUUUGAGUAUCGGAAUAACACACUGUGUUUUCCAUGCCUGUGGAAUAUAGUUGUUAAGCCAAAGUAAAUUGAGGAUAUCUAGAAAUAAUUUUUGAGCUGAUUCAUCCAGAUUUUUAAUCAAUAGGUAAGGGUAGUCAUCCAUACCUGGUGUUGUAUUACGUCUAGAUUGUAAACUUAUUGUAAAUUCUGACCAUGUAAAGGGUUCAACCAAAAAUUUUGAAUUUUGAUUGUCAUUGUUUAAAUUAAAAUAAAUAUUCAAGUUACUGGUCUGAAUUAAA